rnacentral:rRNA from 1 species
CCUACGGGAGGCAGCAGUGAGGAAUAUUGGUCAAUGGGCGCGAGCCUGAACCAGCCACGUAGCGUGAAGGAUGACUGCCCUACGGGUUGUAAACUUCUUUUAUAAAGGAGUAAAGUGAGGCAAGUGUGCCUUUUUGUACGUACUUUAUGAAUAAGGAUCGGCUAACUCCGCGCCAGCAGCCGCGGUAAUACGGAGGAUCUGAGCGUUAUCCGGAUUUAUUGGGUCUAAAGGGAGCGUAGAUGGGUUGUUAAGUCAGUUGUGAAAGUUUGCGGCUCAACCGUAAAAUUGCAAUUGAUACUGGCAGCCUUGAGUACAGUUGAGGUAGGCGGAAUUCGUGGUGUAGCGGUGAAAUGCUUAGAUAUCACGAAGAACUCCGAUUGCGAAGGCAGCUUACUAAACUGCCACUGACAUUGAUGCUCGAAAGUGUGGGUAUCAAACAGGAUUAGAUACCCUUGUAGUC